rnacentral:rRNA from 1 species
AUACGGAGGAUCCGAGCGUUAUCCGGAUUUAUUGGGUUUAAAGGGAGCGUAGGUGGGAUAUUAAGUCAGCUGUGAAAGUUUGGGGCUCAACCUUAAAAUUGCAGUUGAUACUGGUUUCCUUGAGUACGGUACAGGUGGGCGGAAUUCGUGGUGUAGCGGUGAAAUGCAUAGAUAUGACGAAGAACACCGAUUGCGUAGGCAGCUGACCAGACCGCAAAUGACGCUCAUGCACGAAAGUGCGGGGAUCGAACAGGAUUAGAUACCCUGGUAGUCCGCACAGUAAACGAUGAAUACUUGUUUUCGGCGAUAUAAUGUCGGAGGCAAAGCGAAAGCGAUAAGUAUUCCACCUGGGGAGUACGCCGGCAACGGUGAAACUUAAAGGAAUUGACGGGG